rnacentral:piRNA from 1 species
CCUGAGUAGCUCCCGAGCCUGUGG